rnacentral:rRNA from 1 species
AGCGAACGCUGGCGGCAGGCCUAACACAUGCAAGUCGAACGAACCUUUCGGGGUUAGUGGCGGACGGGUGAGUAACACGUGGGAACGUGCCUUUAGGUUCGGAAUAACUCAGGGAAACUUGUGCUAAUACCGAAUGUGCCCUUCGGGGGAAAGAUUUAUCGCCUUUAGAGCGGCCCGCGUCUGAUUAGCUAGUUGGUUGAGGUAAUGGCUCACCAAGGCGAGGAUCAGUAGCUGGUCUGAGAGGAUGAUCAGCCACAUUGGGACUGAGACACGGUCCAAACUCCUACGGGAGGCAGCAGUGGGGAAUCUUGCGCAAUGGGCGAAAGCGUGACGCAGCCAUGCCGCGUGAAUGAUGCAGGUCUUAGGAUUGUAAAAUUCUUUCACCGGGGACGUUAAUGACGGUACCCGGAGAAGAAGCCCCGGCUAACUUCGUG